CCUGUGCUGGCGCAGUAGGUAGGGCGUCAAUCUCAUAAUCUGAAGGUUGUGAGUUCAAUCCUCCGCACAGGU